CCUGACCUCAGGAACGGGGGGAGGGCGGGUGCCUAGAGCGUAAGGUGACCCCUGACCCCAGGAACGGGGGGAGGGCGGGUGCCUAGAGCGUAAGGUGACCCCUGACCCCAGGAACGGGGGGAGGGCGGGUGCCUAGAGCGUAAGGUGACCCCUGACCCCAGGAACGGGGGGAGGGCGGGUGCCUAGAGCGUAAGGUGACCCCUGACCCCAGGAACGGGGGGAGGGCGGGUGCCUAGAGCGUAAGGUGACCCCUGACCCCAGGAACGGGGGGAGGUGGGCGCCGUUA